GGCUACCAUGCAGUCGAGGGGCAGCAUUUCAGUUUGCUUGCAAACUGGAGAUGGCGACCGNCGNUUGGGUGAGUAACACGUAUCCAACCUGCCGAUAACUCGGGGAUAGCCUUUCGAAAGAAAGAUUAAUACCCGAUGGNAUAAUCAGACCGCAUGGUCUNAUUAUUAAAGAAUUUCGGUUAUCGAUGGGGAUGCGUUCCAUUAGGCAGUUGGUGAGGUAACGGCUCACCAAACCUUCGAUGGAUAGGGGUUCUGAGAGGAAGGUCCCCCACAUUGGAACUGAGACACGGUCCAAACUCCUACGGGAGGCAGCAGUGAGGAAUAUUGGUCAAUGGGCGCAGGCCUGAACCAGCCAAGUAGCGUGAAGGAUGACUGCCCUAUGGGUUGUAAACUUCUUUUAUAUGGGAAUAAAGUUUUCCACGUGUGGAAUUUUGUAUGUACCAUAUGAAUAAGGAUCGGCUAACUCCGUGCCAGCAGCCGCGGUAAUACGGAGGAUCCGAGCGUUAUCCGGAUUUAUUGGGUUUAAAGGGAGCGUAGGUGGACAGUUAAGUCAGUUGUGAAAGUUUGCGGCUCAACCGUAAAAUUGCAGUUGAUACUGGCUGUCUUGAGUACAGUAGAGGUGGGCGGAAUUCGUGGUGUAGCGGUGAAAUGCUUAGAUAUCACGAAGAACUCCGAUUGCGAAGGCAGCUCACUGGACUGCAACUGACACUGAUGCUCGAAAGUGUGGGUAUCAAACAGGAUUAGAUACCCUGGUAGUCCACACAGUAAACGAUGAAUACUCGCUGUUUGCGAUAUACAGUAAGCGGCCAAGCGAAAGCAUUAAGUAUUCCACCUGGGGGAGUACGCCGGCAACGGUGAAACUCAAAGGAAUUGACGGGGGCCCGCACAAGCGGAGGAACAUGUGGUUUAAUUCGAUGAUACGCGAGGAACCUUACCCGGGCUUAAAUUGCAUUUGAAUANUNUGGAAACAGNNUAGCCGCAAGGCAAAUGUGAAGGUGCUGCAUGGUUGUCGUCAGCUCGUGCCGUGAGGUGUCGGCUUAAGUGCCAUAACGAGCGCAACCCUUAUCUUUAGUUACUAACAGGUCAUGCUGAGGACUCUAGAGAGACUGCCGUCGUAAGAUGUGAGGAAGGUGGGGAUGACGUCAAAUCAGCACGGCCCUUACGUCCGGGGCUACACACGUGUUACAAUGGGGGGUACAGAAGGCAGCUACCUGGUGACAGGAUGCUAAUCCCAAAAGCCUCUCUCAGUUCGGAUCGAAGUCUGCAACCCGACUUCGUGAAGCUGGAUUCGCUAGUAAUCGCGCAUCAGCCAUGGCGCGGUGAAUACGUUCCCGGGCCUUGUACACACCGCCCGUCAAGCCAUGAAAGCCGGGGGUACCUGAAGUACGUAACCGCAAGGAGCUCCUAGG
rnacentral:rRNA from 1 species